rnacentral:lncRNA from 1 species
UUCAAGUUUAGACUUUUUUAUUCAAACUGAAUAUAAUGCAGUAAAGAAAUAAAGAAAGGAUUUAUUUUAACAUUUUUUUUGUUUUAUUAUUGUGCUGCAAAGAGUCAAUUUACAUGAAACCAUUUUACAUUUUUUUUUCUUAAGUAAAGAAGCAAAUUGCCAUACUGCGAACUAACUCCUAGCGCCAUGUAUGCUUCAAUCGUAUCUGCUUUUCUUUUACAAAAGCAUAACAGGAACCAAAGUAAAAUGUGUAGUGAAUACAGCACAUAAUAAAAAUUCACCAUUCUACAUUUUUUCAAAAUAUGAAAAUAAUAAAUCAUGUUUCACCUGAUAGGUUUUAUAAGUUGAAAUGAGAAAAUUGUCAAACACUUUCAUGAAUACAUCUAUGGUUUUUUUUUUUUUUUGUAUGUAUGUGUAUAGAUUAUCUGAAAUUUUUUUUGUGGGUUUGAUUCUACAUUCUUACAUUUACUUUCUUACACAAAGAACACUCUCUCAAAUAACAUGUAUUUUUGGAAUAAAAUUUGAUGUAAUACUCAAAUUAAUAAAUUAGGUCAUUAAGCAAUAAAUUAAAUUUUUCAUUUUUUUUUUUUCUAAAUUGCGCAAGCAUUGCCAAAUAUCUACAACAAUAUUUGGAAGCUCUUCAACAAAACAAAAUAUAUAUUUUUUUUUUUUUACUUUUCACAUUAAGCCUGUUUGGUAUUGUUUAUAUUUGUUGGCAAAAACUAAGGGGAAAAAGAUUAAAGAACACAAAGGUGGGUAAAACAAAUAUAAAAGUGUACAGUUAUUUUUAGAAGUGUAUGUUCAAAAUUAACAUUACUAAGGAAGGCUUUAAUAAAUGUCCUGCUUAUUGAGAAUAAUAUUGCAGUAGUUUAUUGAAGAGGACAGAGAAUGGUUUAUUAACGCAACAAGGAGCUGAGCUAAAUUUACAACAAAGCUGAAACAUUUAUGUCAUAUUAGACAGGAUGGAAAAGUUCCUCAGUUCAGCUAUUUUUCCAACUGUUAUGUUUCCAUCAAAAUGUUGUGAUCAAUUUACCACAGCUCAUUGUCUGUGAAUAAACCCCUGUUCUUUUAAUUACUGUGGAUUGUUUCAGGCCUGCCAUGCAGUGCAAGCCCAUGUGAUUGAGUUUACUGUUUAAAUUUAAUGGGAAAUAGUAACUAGUAGACUUGUGCACAAACUCCCUUCAGCUGCGUUGAACAAAUCGAAUGCCUGUCAAUCAAUAGACAAACAUAUUGAUUUGUCUGGGAUUUACCUAACAAAUUGAUACGUUCGGCGAUAGAUUGAUACCCAUUUGAUUUGUUCAAAAAAGCUGAAAAAAGAUUUGUGCACAAGUCUAGUAAAUAAACUUGUGCACAAUUCUUUUCAGCUGCUACAAACGAACCCUGGAUCUACUUGUGGAGCCUUAUACUACUAAUAUAUACUACGUAUUGAUUCAUUCGGGCAUACCACCUGAAAUGAAUUUGUGCACAAGUUUGAGUGAUGCGUAGUGUAUUAUAUAUAUAUAUAUAUAUUUAUUUAUUUUAAUAAUUUUUUUUUUUGCAUAUGUUCCUUCAGGUUAAUGUACAUGAUUACGUAGGAAAACCGCACAAUUUCACUUUACUGUGGCUGAAAAAUAUACAACUAAUUAAUUUAUACACAAAACAGAAAGUUGUGGCAAGCUGCCAAAGAGCUUGCAAAAUAUAAAUCAAAACAGCUGAGGCGUAAAAAAUCCCAAAUGACUAAAAAAUAUUUAGAUUUUUUUUUUAUUGCUCAGCUAUUUUGUUUGAAAAUUUGCAAAAUGAUAGUCAAGAACAACAACUUGCUGUUUAGUAACCUACCCAAGUUGUACAAUUCAAUAAUGGAUAUGGUAAACCAGAAGUGUAAAGGAGCACAUGGCAAACCAUAGACAGUGACAUAGAAGCAGCACAAAACCAUUUUUUUGUUAUCACUAAAGCAAAAGGCAUUGUUUUCUUGCUUUUCAUAUUACACUUGGUUCUUGAUCAUAGUUAUUUCCCUUUGUCUUUUAUGUAAUGUUUAGAAACGGGCUGUUACACAGUGAAACAAAUAUUAUGUGACACAAGAUAAUAGAUCCAUACAUCAGCCAAGCGCAUUCGUCCACUACGACUAUUAAAGAAAUAUACUUCUGCUGGUAGGGGUAUCGCAAUGAAGGACUGUCUAUAAUGUCAGUGUAUACAGGCAUCAGAUGUAAUAUUCUUUAUUUAUUGCAUUUGUUACAUUUGCAUCUCUAAAACCACACAAGGUAGCUGGUGGCACUGUCAUCAGAACUUGUCUAUACAUUAACAUAUAGAAGUUUUAAAACAUCUUAUACCUAAAGUUGAUCACUUAAAAAUCUGUUAAGCAUUAUAUAAAUUAUUUAAAAAAAAAACCAAAAGAUAAAUAUAAGAUUUCUAGCAAACAUGGUGUGAACACAGCACACAUAUUUUGAUUGGCUGCUGAUAUAUCACCCAUUUUUAUCUGUAAAUCUCACUGCUGGUUUAAUGAAUAUAAAAUAAUUACCAUAAUAGCCAUUUCCAGCCUGGAAAACUAUUAUCUUACUACUUGAGGGCUAAUGGUUAUAAUAUUAAUCUGCUGUGUUUAUUGUUUUAAAUGGAAACCCAGCCAGCAAUACUGUUUUAGUGACAGUGCCACUUUAGAUUCUGAGAAAGAAAUAAUAAUCUUGCAUCAGUACAGUACCAAAAAGUUGAUAACAGGUUUUCAAAGUUGUUUUUUUAACCAAUUUGUUGUCAAAUAGACAAAUGCACAGACAUAUUAGCAGAUUAGUAUUCAAACUGCAGGUAAAAGGUCAAAAUUAAGAAAAAAAACUUUUAUUCUUCUCACUUUGAUAAUGCAGCAUCAGAAAAAAUACACAUAUGUGUACACAUGUAUAACGUGAUCUUAAUAGUUAUUCAAAAUCCUCAACACUUACCAGGGUGUUCUAUAUAUCUAUACAUACAUGCAAUAGGCAGAGUUUGUUGGUUCUUGGGUAGAUGAUUUUAGGGGAUAUGGAAAUAUGUAAUGAUGCAAGCUGAAAAAACAAAGGGGAUAACCUAGUGCAAUAUUGUCAAAUACAGAAGUAUGAGUAAAUAAACAAUCUCUAGUCUUGUACUCACAAGGAUGGAGCCAGUGUCAUUUGGCUCAAUAUGUAGGCAUGUGGAAAUAUUUGUAGGGAUCCCACUUCCUUUGUAAUACCAGAAACUGACUUUAUAUUGAUUUGAUUUGUUUUAUUUUGUCGUCAAUAAAAUAUCUUUUGUACUUUACUUGACGUCCAGGGGGAUCUGUGAGGUGGACCAGAGGGCAUUAAACCAACAGGCGCACAAAAAGGGAGUGGGAUCUCCACAAAUGUUUCCACAUGCCUACAUAUUAAGCCUAGUGACACUGGCUCCAUCCUUGUGAGUACAAGACUAGAGAUUUUUCUUAACUCAUACUUCUGUAUUUGACAAUAUUACACUAUGAUUUGGUUAUCUCCUUUAUUUUUUCAGCUUGCAUUAUUAUAUAUUUUCAUAUCACCUAAACCAUCUACCCAAGAACCAACAAGCUCCGCCUAUUGUAUGUAUGUAUAGUCUUUAUUAGUGUGGGUAGAGAGCAUACCACACAGGUGUUUAGAGUGUGUUGGGACUUUUUUGGCUACACACCAGGACUCUGUUUAUUUUGUCAUAUUUAAUUUUUUCUUUAUAUAUGCAUGCUACCCAAUUGAUCUUUCACCCAAUAUAGAAAUACUGGCUUUCUUAUAUGAGAGAGCACAAUUUCUAACUUGCCCUUAUUCAUCUUCUGGAUAUUCAGAUUUUGUUUUUAUAAAUUAGUUAAGUCAGUUUUAUAAAUCUGGAUAGUCAGAUUUGGUUUUAUAUACAGCAAUACCAACUUUUGCUCAGCAUCUGUCUCCAGAGGGAGUGAUCUCCAUGAAAAGUAAGCUACAAAACGAGAUAUCAAAAUAGUACUAGCCAAAACAUUUGACCCAGACAGUUUUUUUUUUUUAUAUUAAAAGUACACUACCAUUUGUUAUUUGCAGCUAGGCUUUGAGUUCUUUCUUCCAAUAUUUUGUUAAGCUAUUUUUAUGGUUUGAUUAAAAAAAUGAAUUGUGUCUCUUGGCUGUCAGUGUGAUAUUGGGGAAGUUUCAAUUCCACAUAAUACUCCCAAAACAAUCUGGUGAUAGUCUGCACAUGGUGGGCUAAGUUACCCACAGCACUCAUAGCCUAUUAUUGAUGUCUGUGGUUGGACACAUUAGGUGGAUAAUGGUGGAAUUAGGUGGAUUUAAAAUAUAACAUUAUAUAAGAUGUAGAGCCACAGUUGGACAAGAUACAGGAUAAUAGCAUCCAAAGACACCAAGAAUUGUCAUAUCCAGAAGAGGAUGACUGUAAUAGCUUUUAUCAGUGACCCAUCAAGUCUCCCAAAUGACAUUUAAAGGACUUGCAGUACUUAGUCGGAUCAAGUAGGAUAAUUACAUAUCUAACCUUAACCCUAUUGAGAAGGUUCUAUAUACACAUAUGUUGCAGUCCCUCCCAGCAACCUUUUAAUUAUAUGGUACUGUGUCAACAUGAAAAUGACAAAGUGAAUAUUUUACCAAAGACUCAGGAACUAAUACUGUGGUAUGGAUAAUUAUAUAGCACUGGAAAAAACUGUUUAGUCUUGCUGUCAUUUCAGAAAGUGGUAUAUAUUCAAAUGCCCAGGACAAUUUGAUGGUAGCCCAGGACAAUUUCACUUUUUGUUAACUAACAAAAUACUUGGAAUGUUUACCAGAUGUAUUCAAUAGAAUACAAUGUUUAUACAUAGUGGCCAAUGGUAGAAGGAUGAGCAGAUUUAUAGAUUGAAGUACGUGAUUUAAGAAGAAAUGCAUAUACUAGACUUUAUAUAAAUAAAACAAAAGCAGGCAGUUGGGCAAAUGUUUUCAGUCAUAAAUUACCCUUGUAAACUACUUUUAAUUAAUAUGUAGGUAGCAUUAUUCUAAACCACAGGAUCAAAAUCUGCUUUUUAUUUAUGUUGCUGUCAUUGGGUGAAUGAAUCUAAGCUGUCAAUCCCCAUUUUCCCCAUUACAUCUGUAGAUGUUCAUUUUAUCAUAUUAAGUAAAUAAUGUAGCUAUGGUAACAUGCAAGCUCCCAUAAGCAGGCAAUCGCCUGUCUGCUCAUUCUUUCAUCAAUACAUGCCUUCUUGAAUUUAAAAAGCAAACAGACACAUAUAUAUUGGGAGUCUGCUGAGAGUCCACAACAUCAAAAAACAAAUUUAAUUUGAGCAAUAGUUCUGUAAUUCUAAAUUCAUUAUAAAAGGUAUUGUUCGUCAGAGAGAAAUGAUGACGUUCAAUAAAAUGAAUGUGAAUUUGAAAGCUAUACUUAUGCAGUCGUAUUUCAUAUAUUCGUGUUGCAACAUAAAUCUGUAUCAAUUGUCAAAUUAUAUCAAAUUCAUGCAACUAAUAUACAAGCUGAAAAAUUCCAUCAUUCUCCAGAUCACACAUGCAAUGCUUGUGUUUGAAUUUCAUAUAUCAACUUAUGAAACAACUGUUUAAUAUAUAUUUUGAUAGCGAUGUUACCAUCAGGAAUGGUAUAUGAACCAUUACAUGACGUUUAAUAAAACUUUGUAAACUUUCAUAGUUAUUCACCAAAAUGUGACUUGGUCAGGAAUUCAAAGCAAAAUUUUAAUUUUUGGCGAAAAUAGAUGAAUUUAAAACAUAGUUGACUUGAAGACUUUGAAAUUAACUAAGAAGUUCCUUUUAGUUCCCAACAAUUGACACUUUAGUAAAUUACCUUGUUUGUGUUGAUCAUUUUUUAAUCUAUUUAAGAUAUAUAUUUAUUUCUAAAAGAAAUUAAAAAAAAAAAAUGUAUAGCUAUCUGUGGGUAUUUAUUCUCUAAACUCUGAAAAUGUUAUUCUCUAAGGUGAGAAUUGCUAUGCAUUCAUAAUGAAUUCAAAGUGAAUUUGAAAAUUUAGGCCAAAAUAGUCCAAGUGGAAACAUAGAUGACUUGGAGAAUUUUUACUAGUUUAGCUUUUUAGCCUUAAUGAGACACUCCCGUCACUUUAAGCAUCUUAGCUUGCUGAAGAGCUAUAUAUGUAAGGAGUGAGUCCUUAUUUUACAAAAAGUACAGAUUCCAAUAAAAAAAUGGCACUUUUAUAAAUUAAACCCUAGCUGUUAGACAACUGGUCCUCUUUCUGGUUGUUUAGCUCAGUGUAGCGAAAUGUAAGAGGCAGACAAUAACUCAGAGCAGUUGCCUUGCAUUUAGCUGCAGGAAGUCCAUAAUUAGAUAGCCACAGAAAGUCUGGAGUGGGGAAAAAGGGCAGGGCUUGCAAGCGGUUUUUAAAUAUAACAAAAUGAAAAAAUUAUUUGCCAAAUUUAUAUGUUUUUAAUGGGAUUAUAUCUACUAAACAGUGAUACUUAUUUUUGUAUUUGGACAGUGGAGGGUCACUUUAAUCUUGAAAUUAUAUUUCAUUCAAAUUGAAUUCCUGGCACUUAUAACAGCACACAUAGUUUUUGAGAAUUAAUGGUAAAAUUGAGGGUAAAAUAGCCAAAUUGCAACUAUGGAUGAGGAGGCAAAUAUUUUCAGAUGAGCUUAUUUUCCUUAAUUUUUCUGUUUGCAUAGACUUCACGAUAAUUACAAGUUAAGGGAAUAACCUGGACAGUAUUAUCUAAGAGCUCAAGAAACAUUUCCUGUUUCCAGCACAGUAAACUGCAAACUUGCUACUCAAAGGAUUCCACUAGCUUCUGAUUCCACAUGCACUCUGCAGCCUUGUUUAUUUCGUGGUAACUGCCAAAGAGGGUUAGAAAAUUGUGAGACUGAAUUUCAACCUCCAUCUUUAAACACUGACAAUUCCAGAUAAAUGUUCUAUAGAUUGCUUGUAUGACAAUAAUAUUAAUCUUUUUCAUUAUUGUUUUAAAUUGAUUUAUGGAAAUACAUUUUUAGAUGACAGUGCUAUCUAUUAUGCAAAACAUAUUUGGGAUAAAGAAAAUUGUGUACACUUUUUAGUUAGCCAUCGACCACUCAUUUUCUGUUUUCUGUUCUUAUUUGGGAAAUUACCACGCUAUCAAGCUAUGUUUUGGGUGACUAGGUAAUUAGGUAGCUACAGCUGAGAAAGUUAUUUUUAAAGUUACCAGUUAUUUGUGGAAGUUACACCACAAAUUGAAACAUCGAUGCUCAGUUUUCACUUUAAUUAAUAGUAAAGAAAGAGCACACAUUGCUAAUGAAAAAUAAAAAUCAUUGUUUCAUUUCACCUCCUCUAUAUCUGCUUUCUUUAUGCUGAAUGUCAAGUGCAGAGGACAAAAAUGAUAACAUUGAUUGACAUGGACCUACAAUGGAGGCACCCAUUUGCAAGAUACAGAGAUGGGAAUUUCUACAUUUAAUUUUAUUUUUAGCUCACAAAAACAUUUGUUAAAGGGACACUCCAGUGCCAGGAAAACAAUCUGUUUUCCUGGCACUGCAGGUCCCCUCUCCCUCCCACCUCCCAUCCCCGGUUGCUGAAGAGGUGAAAACCCCUUCUGUCACUUACCUGAGACCCCCGCCGUCAGCCGGUGGGCGAGACUGAUCCUGCCCGCCAGCCGGGGAGACCUAAUGCGCAUGCGCGGCAAUGCCGCAAACGAGCAUUAGAGCUCUCCAUAUGAAAGCAUUGAAAUUCCUUUUCAAUGCUUUCCUAGGGAGAAUUAAGCGACGCUGGAGGUCCUCACACAGCGUGAGGACGUCCAGCGAUAGACACGCCACUAGAGGAGUUAAUCCUGCAAGGUAAUUAUCGCAGUUUAUAAAAAACUGCAAUAAUUACACUUGCAGGGUUAAGGGUAGUGAGAGUUGGCACCAAGUGGGUGCCUGGAGUGUCCCUUUAAAUAUAGGGUAAAGUAAACAUAAUAUUAAAAACCCUGGAAAACGACAGUUCCCCUUUAAAGUUCUCAUUCACUCUUGAUGCAAACAGCAUCCACCCCUAUAGUCAAAGCUAUAGCCCUAAAAGGUCAUGUUUAGUGCGCCACAACCAAAAUGAAUGAAACUAGCCUUAGCUGGUACUAAGAAUGUACAUGUACCACACAUAGCAAGCUUGAAAUUAGUGUGAACAACAGAAAUCAAAAACCCCUUCAACCCUCUGAGUUUCACUUCCUUCCCUAAUCCCACAUCUUUCUUACACAGAAGGUACCUGCAAAACUAAUGAGCAGUGAAAACAUUAUUACAGAACACAGGUGGUGAGUGGCUAAUUCAAAUGUACCAAAAAUUCUAUCACAUUAACAUACAGCCUUCUAUUUUUUUAAAACACUGACUGAUAUAUAUGAUGGUUUAUGCACUUUGUUUUACAUUGUUCCUAUUCACGUCUUACAAUUAUAGACAACGACAAACAACCAUAUGGUAACAGCGUACUUUAAUUAUUAAUGUAAAAAUAAUAUAUUCCAGGGCAAAGGUUCUCUCUCUUCUCUGUCUCUCUCUUUCAUAUAUCAUUUG